GCUAAUAUAACAAUGUAAUAUUUCAGUAAAGUAGUAGAAUACAUCAAUAUACUGUUUACGGUAAGUCUAGUACUCUUGAUAAUAACUUUUGUGUCCACCAGGUGGCAGUGAUGAGUCCCUGUAACUCAAUCUCAAUGGACCCUUGCUGUGAAGGUCAUUGUCAGAUUAGCUAGAAGCACGAAGGAAGUUUGAGAAAGUUGAAGAAAUUGCAGCAAUUCCUCAAGUUAGUCUUAAAGAUCAAACAAAUGUAGGCUUCUCUGGGAUAUUCAAGAAGUCCAGUGACACGUCUCCCGCUGAAUGUGGCGUUGACUCUCCCCACUUCUACCCUGAGGGCCUACUGAAGAUGUGGACCCCCCCACUGUGGUGUGACCAGGAGUACCCUUCAGGUUUCUCUUGAAUGUUUUUGAAGACCUGGAACACGUCUCCAGCUGAAUGUUGCGCUGACUGACCCCCCUUCUUCCCUGACGGCCUAUUGAAGAUGUGGCCCCCCCACACUGCGGUGUGACCAUGAGUACCCUUCAGGUUUCCCCUGGAUUUACUUGAAGACCCUGAACCCCUCUACAGAUGAAUGUGGCAUUGACUCUCCCCUUUCUACCAUGACGGCCUACUUGUCAUAUGGAUUCCCCCCACUGAGGAGUGACCAGGAGUACCCUUCAGGUUUCCCCUGGAUGUACUUGAAGACCCUAAACCCCUCUGCAGUGGAAAGUGGCGUGACAACCCACCUUCUACCAUGACGGCCUACUUGCAAUGUGGCCCCCCCUGUGUCGUUAUGUGUUGCCCACUAUCACUACUACACAUGUAGCACUGUCCACCUCAAAAUCAAUUUGGUUUACAGUUAAAGAAAACACAAUUUUUGGAAGUAUUUUAAAA